rnacentral:lncRNA from 1 species
AAUCCCUCUGGAGCAUUCAGUGACAACGUCGACUUUGAAGUUGCACUGACCUGGCCAGCCCUGCCACUUACCAGGUUGGGCUGUGGCUUGCCUUUUCACUUCUUGUGUCCUGUUUAAGAAAUAUCUGCUAUCCCAAGCAUCUGGCAUCUUUCUUGACAUACGUAGCAGUUGCUUUUUGACAGCUUGCUUCUGGAGUGAAUGAAUAAAUUAAUAAAUUUAUUCAUUUGAUAUUCAGUGACAUGUGAUAUUCAGUGAUCCAUUUUGCAGAUUGCAAACUCCUAGAGAAGGGCUCAACAGUGAGUGUUGAGGCUGCACAGAGGAGGAAGGUAGCACAAUGAUGGAAGGCUUCCUAAAGAGAUUGAGCCUCGUAUUUCAUAUCUGCCCCUGGCCUAAUGUUUGCUUACAGAAUGAGCUCAAUGAAUAUUGUUAAAUAACACUAACAAAGUUGACCUUAGAAUUGGAGUGCCCGGGUUAGAACCUUGCUGGUACCACCUGCUUACUGCAUGCUUCUGAUGUGAGUUCAGGAGAAGCCACUGGCAAGGACAGCAAAGAACAGGAGAACACUCUAGCUUCCCUGAUAGCAUUCAAGGUGCUGUCCAAAAGUUUCACUCUUGUCACCCAGGCUGGAGUGGAAUGGCACAAUCAUGGCUCACUGCAACCUCUGCCUUUCCGGUUCAAGCAAUUCUCCUGCCUCAGCCUCCCCAGUAGCUGGGACUACAGGCAUGCACCACCAUGCCCGGCUAAUUUUGUAUUUUUAGGAGAGACGGGGUUUCACCUUGUUGGUCAGGAUGGUCUCGAACUCCUGACCUCAGUUGAUCCACCCUCCUCAGCCUCCCAAAGUGCUGGGAAUACAGGUGUGAGCCACCGCGCCCAGCCUAAUUUUUCUUACGUGAGAUACAGUUUACUAAAGUCCACCUUCCACUUCUUCCUUCGUAUAUACAGAGAUGGCAUUUCCUAGCUUCUCUAGCAAUUAAUUGUGGCCAUGAGCUUUGGGCAGCGGAAUGUGAAUGGAUGUGAUGUAGCCACUUCAUAUGUGUUUCUCUGUGUCCUUUCCCCUUCUAGCUGACUGUGAUGGCACCCUCCAGACAGACAGCGAUGCCACAUGUUCAAGAUGGCAGAAUCACUAACAGCUUCAAUUCCUGAAUGACUGCAGAGCAAAAUUUCUUACCCGCAACAUACACUCUAUUUUCAGCCUCCCUGGACUGUUACAUAAUGAUACAUAAAAAUAUUUCUUGUGUUGAGGCAUCCCAAAUUUGAUCUAUUUGUCAUCACAGUUUAUCCUACGAAUAUAUUUCUGAUCCAAA